rnacentral:piRNA from 1 species
UGGACAGUGAGUCCUGUGUCUGGGGCAGG